rnacentral:rRNA from 1 species
CCUACGGGAGGCAGCAGUAGGGAAUCUUUCACAAUGGGCGAAAGCCUGAUGGAGCAACGCCGCGUGCAGGAUGAAGGCCUUCGGGUUGUAAACUGCUUUUAUAAGCGAGAAAUAUGAUGGUAACUUAUGAAUAAGGAUCGGCUAACUACGUGCCAGCAGCCGCGGUCAUACGUAGGAUCCGAGCAUUAUCCGGAGUGACUGGGUGUAAAGAGUUGCGUAGGUGGCAUAAUAAGUAGCUAGUGAAAUCUGGUGGCUCAACCAUUCAGACUAUUAGCUAAACUGUUAAGCUCGAGACCGUUAGGGGUAACUGGAAUUUCUAGUGUAGGAGUGAAAUCCGUAGAUAUUAGAAGGAACACCAAUAGCGUAGGCAGGUUGCUGGGACGGUUCUGACACUAAGGCACAAAAGCGUAGGGAGCAAACGGGAUUAGAUACCCGAGUAGUC